AGAUACGUUGCCAGUCCGUGGUGGGGUCUAUAUUUAAACAGACAGGUCCAAUUCCAGAAUAUGCUCUCUGGCCACACAUCACUUGUCCAAACCCAAACCAGGAUAUGGAUGCUGACAAAGACUAUUUUUCUAACAUUAUUGAUGUGAAAAGUUUUAUGAAAGAACCGGUUACUAACAGACAGUUAUUAAACAUGACAAAAAUGGCCCACGGAAAAGAAAAGGACACAAAAUGGAAACUGACUACCAAUGCAAACUUAGGAAUGCGCAUGGAAACCAACGUUUCUCCCUAGUGUGGCAAGACCUCAGCCUCAGACUCAGGAGAGAAGAAAAGAAAAUCCUCAUGGAGUUGGCUGCAGACCUCCAAGCAAAGGGAGAGGGCUGAGCCCCGGAAGGAAACCCAUUAGUCUAGACUCGAGGUUAGAAACAGGAGAUCUGGAGCAGGCUAAGUGUGAAUUCCGGUGCUGCCAUGUACUAGCUGUGCAACUUCAGGCAAGCUCACUGUGCUCGAUUUUGCAGGUGUGUUUCCUUAUCUGCAAAAUGAGCUUGGGACUCUGUGAGUGAGCAUGAAAUGCUCCCUAGGCGUUCGUUUUUAUUAGCAUCACCAGGCCCAGUCAGAGGGAAAAAACGCGAAUUAUCUAUUUCAGAAAGGGCCAGGCUGGGCCAAGGCUUUGGUCAGGUUUUUACAGGGUCUUGACAAGCCUGUUCACAAGAGGCUCACUCUAGGCUGCUCUCAGGAAAGAGGUUUCCUAUGGGACGAGCAAGGCCUCCCAGGAAGUGACAAUGACCACUCCCAGCUAGAGAAACAGGGCAGGCACAGAGUGGGGGCCAAGAAGAGGAGUGUCCCCAAGGGGCAGCCCCAGCAGACAUGCUAGGAAUGGGGGAAGGGACUUAGGCUAGAGGAGUUGGGGGAGACUCCUUCGUAGAUGGGUCUACGUGCCCCAAAUAACAGGCGCCUCUCUGAGACAGAACCCUCUGCCUCUCUAUCUCCUUGCUGGUGUUUUCUUCCAAAAGGGACAGCAUCUAUUUAGUUUAAGUAAAGGUCACUUUUUUUUUUUUAAUUUUUAAAAAGAAAUAAUUUAUCAAAAUUCCAGGAGUUCCCAUCGUGGUGCAGCGGAAAUGAAUCUGACUAGGAACCAUGAAGUUGCGGGUUCGAUCCCUGGCCUCACUCAGUGGGUUAAGAAUCCGGCACUGCCAAUGAGCUGUGGUGUAGGUCGUAGAAGCGCUCAGAACUGGUUUUGCUGUGGCUGUGAUGUAGGCCCGCAGCUGUAGCUCUGAUUAGACCCCUAGCCUGGGAAUCUCUAUAUGCCGCGAGUGCAGCCCUAAAAAAAAAAAUUCCUUUCUGUUACAGUUUAUCCCAGGAAACUGGAUACAGUUUCCCGUGUUAUACAGUAGAAUCUUGUUUAUCCAUUUCAAACGUCACAGUUUGCAUCUACUACCCCCAAACUCCCUGUCCAUCCCUCUGCCUUCACCCUGCCCCCUGGCAACCACAAGUCUAUUCUCCAUACCUGUGAGUCUGUUUCUGUUUUGUAGAAAGGUUCAUUUGAGCCACAUUUUAGAUUUCACUUCAGAAAAACAAUAAGAGUUAAAGCGAUGCCUGGCGCAGGAGAAAGGAAAAUGUCCAAAGCUCCCAAGAACCUGCCAUUUUCCUAUUGCCAGUGAUACCGCCGCCCAUCGUCUGCGUUUCUGAUCUGUUUAUGGAGACCACCUCCAAGCCUAAACAAGGUCUCUAAUCAGGCAGUGACCUGUCUGGCCGCCCCACACAGAGAAUCGGGUUGAAAUUUAACCCAAAAGUUGGAGGGCCAAGCCUCCCCGCCUCAAGGAGACCACGUGAGCGCGGCCCCGCCCCUGCCUUUGGGAGUCGUGGGGCUUGAGGGCGGGGCCGGAGCGCGGGGGGGCGGGGCCGGAGGGCGGGACUCGCCGCCCGGGGCUUGGAAUGUCCCAAAUCAGCGCGACCCCGGAAAAGCCCUACGCUUCUGGAAAUGUAAUUCGCAUUCCUUGAGAUUUGAAAGGCUGCAUCGAGGGUCCAAAUCCCUUUUGGCAGCGAGGUGGAAGGAAGGCCCGAGGGCAGCGGAGUACCGGCGGGAGAAACAAAUUCUUCCUCUAAAGAGAUAAAGGCUGAAUGUUUCAGGGUCUUUGUCUAAGAAACAGCGGGUGGACGAGUUACCGGACAGAUGGCUUUACUGUAAUUAACUGUAUUAAGUUAUCCAUGAUUUUUUUUUUUAAAAGGAAAACCGAAUCUCACAAUUUGGGGAGGAAGUAAAAAGGGGGCCCAGGCUUUUCAGCUUAGUUGGGAUGCAACUCAAGCCAAAGGAAAGUGAGAUCAAAGCAACUAAGCCAGGAACUGUUGUCCAAGAGUCAUUUUAAAUGCCUUCUCUCACCAAAGGGAUUUAUGCUGCCCUCUUGCCUUGAAGCCCACUGGGCACAAGAGAGCUAGCCUGUUUCAGGGAUAAAUGGGGGGAAAAUGUCCCACCUCAUGCUUGGGUGAAUCAAGACUACACUCCACCCCAACACACCCCCCCCCAACACACACCCACAUCCCCACACACACCCAUACACACUCACACACCCUUUAGGGGGUAUUUCUCCAUACCCUUGAAAAAGACCCCAAAUAGGAAAUGGUCACCUUGUGAGGUGAAGUCAUUGCCUCUGAAACCAAAAUACACCAGGAGUGGCAAAAGUAUUAGAGCCACUUCUGUGGCCUUUUAGCUGAGCAUCUUGGUCAGAAAAUUAACCAUCGGCUUCCUCUUACCAUGUCAGACCCAGUGGUCUAGUGAGAAGAUCUCACACCAGGCAGUGGGCAGUCGCUGGUUCCCAGGGCGAAGCCAGAUGGUCCCUUUCCUCUCAGCCUGUGAAAAAUAACACUCUGCCUAGACCAGCCCUUCCGCUCUUGAGGGGUUUUUACUUCACUUACCAUUGGGCCGAAGGGCAAGUGAGAGCAAGAGACACCCCCCUCUUUAAAAUGGGGCAGAGAAGGAAGGGGGGAGAAUUCCUAUGCGCUGGGUGUGCACUCUGCCUGGCACCAUGCGAGAAAAUGUCCCUUCUCUGAGGCUUUAUCAGCUACCCUGGCAAGGGCACAUGAUUGGUAAGCGAAGAAAUUUUGCUAAAUCCAGAGCCCAGAUCUAAACAGGUCUGCUAGAUGUCGGGCUGCUCGUCUGCAGUUGCCUGGGGCACCGACCUCAAGGUAAAGAUUUGAUAUAAAAAUUGGUCUUUUAUUUUAAAGCCCAAUUUGCAUGUUUUUGCAUUGUACAGAUUUCAAUCCGUGCUCACCUUUACCCACCUGCAACAACAUUUACAUGCUUCAACCCGAGCCCUGAAGAGGGAAGCAAAUGCAGGUCUACCAGUUGGCCGUCUUUUCGGCAACUUGCAGAACACAGCUCUCUUGACAAUAUUGUACCUCCUCCUUUAAAGCAAAUAUCUGCACUCCAGCAUCUGUCUUGAGCAGCCCAGACUGGGAGUUCAGAUGCUGCCAAUAAGUUUAUAGGCAGGCUGACCCCAUUACAUAAAAAGUAGAGCUAUCUGGAAAAGGGCUAGCAGCCAUGGAGGUGGGCCACCUAAAGGGCUGGCCGAACAACUUCUUGGCCUCCUGAAGGAUCCCAUGCGGCUGCCACCAUCUCAUCUCCAUUGGUCCAAGGAGCACCGCCAGCGGUCCUUAUCCUUGGCCAGACAGCAUCACCUGGGAGCUUUACAACCACUGUUGCCUGGGUCCUGCUCCCUGAGAGUCUGCUUGGUUUGGACUGCAAUCUGGCACAGCGCCUGGCCGAUGCUCCCCCCCGCCCCGUGUCCGCUGUGCAGCCCGGGGAAGAACCACUGGGCACAUGUUUGGUCACAGUGGCCCCAGAGAGCUGGGAAAACAGAAGUAACAUUUGGAAAGACAUUCAGGGUUCUCCAGACUUCUGCUGACUGGCGGUGAAAGGUAAGGCGGCAAGGCAGAGCAAAGGUUUUGCCGCCAGGCAGGCAGAAAACUAAAACUCUAGCUCUAGCACUUGGCCCACUGUGUGACCUGGGCCAAGUCACACAAUGGUUCUGAGACUUAGAUUUCUCGUCUAUAAAAUGAGGGUGAUAGGCGUUCCCAUCAUGCCUCAGCAGUAACGAACCCGACUAGUAUCCAUGAGGAUACAGGUUCCAUCCCUGGCUUUAGCUCCAUGGGUUAAGGAUCUGGUGUUGCCCUGAGCUAUGGUGUAGGUUACAGGCGCAGCUCAGACCUAGCAUUGCUGUGGCUGUGGUAUAGGCGGCAGGUGCAGCUCCGAUUUGACCCCUAGCCUGGGAACUUCCAUAUGCUUCAGGUGCGGCCCUAAAAAGACAAAAAUAAAAUAAAUAAAAUAAAAUGGUGGUGGAUAACAUACUUGCCUCACAGGGCUGUGUUAAGAACUAGCUACACUGGGACAUUGCCUGGCACACACGCCAUCCUGAGUCGAUGAUGCCUGUGACUGUUAACAAACUGCCCCUGGGAUUGACUUGGGAGGAAGGGAAGGAUGCUGUGGGCUGAGGGCCCCCUUUCUGGCAGGAGCUCCAUGAAGCUAGAAGCAGCGUGGGAGGCGCUCCAAGCCUCCAAGACACCUCCUGCCCUGCUUUCCCACGUCCCAUCCCCUUUUCACUUCCAGGUUCAGCUCCAGGAGGAGGUGUAUAUUUAGGGGGAGAGGCCAAAAGCAUCUGGCCACAGUUCCACCUCCCAAAGUGGGUGGCCAUCAGACUGGAUGGUGUCACCGUGGGUUGUGUCACCCAAGGCAGCUCUGCCCAGGACAGGUCUGUCCACCCAAGGACCCAGGCCUCCCCUGUCCCUCCCACUUGAGACCAGGAUGCUUGCUCUGAGGGGAGCCAGGCCCCAAGGGGGGCAGCCACUGUGCAGCAACCUGCCACCCUCUUGGAUGGAGCUCUUUUGCAUACAUUCUGUCAUACGAUACCUGGAACAGCCAUGUGAAGCGGGUGAAGCAGGGACUAAAUGGAUGCAGAGAGCAGCCUUUCCAUCGGUGAGUGGGGGGAGGUGGACAAAAGGGACACCUACAGGUAUACUCCAUAUACACACUUGCCCCAAAGUGGGAUCUCUAAGAGCCCUUCUCCUUGAGCAAAAAGUCUUUCUACAAUGGAGGACGUUAUGAAAGCCAGUGGGGAGUUCUUGUCGUAGCUUAGGGGGUUACCACCUGGGCUAGUAUACAUAAGGACGGGGGUUCGAUCUCUGGCCUCACUCAGUGGGUUAAGGAUCAGUGUUGCCACAGUAGGUUGCAGAUGUGGCUGGAUCCCGCAUGGCUGUGGCUGUGGUGCAGGCCAGCAGCUGCAGCUCUGAUUCGACCCCUAGCCUGGGCACCUCCAUAUGCUGCAGGUGAGGCAAGCAAGCAAGAAAAGAAAGCCCUUGGAAGGGCCAGCUGCAGGGCUUGGAAUGGAUAAGAAAACCCAGGCACGGGGGCCUAAAUGAUUUGCCCAGAGGGACACAGGUGGGUUCAGAGGCCACUGUGCUGUCCUCUCCAUCAGGGCAUGCAGCCUCCUGCCCUCCACCGCUCACGCCCACGGACCAGCAGCACAGAGGACUCAGAAUCAGACCGAGUCACAGGUCUGCUGACACCAAGGUGGGGGAUGAAGGAGGGGUCGUCCACCCAUCAGGAGGGAAACAAUCCUUCAAUGGGAGCAAUGCAGUCAGAGAGGCACCCAAAGGUUCCCAUCACCCCAGUUGCCCCUGGACACCUACAUGUGUUGAUACAAGUUUUCAAAACUCGACAUAUCCUCUUGUCACUGGCAAGGGAUUUUGAUUUCCUGAGAGCGCAGCUUGUCAAAGUUCAGCCCCCGUGGAGCUCCACGGUCCACACAGUGGGUUACAGACACCCCACUCUUCCCCACCCCUGUCGCCCAGUGGGGGGACACAUGUCCACUCACCAUUUCCCGGUCCUGCCACACUCACUCAAGUCUCUUGGCUGAUGGAUCUUUGGACAUGGACUCGCACAUCCCUCCCUGGUCACCCGCUGAGGUCCAGCUCAUCAGUGAAGAUGGAUCCCCACGAGCCUGACGGAUGGCUCUGGGCCGGAGACUGCCCAGCGUGCCCUGAGGCCCUGCCCCUGCCACACCCAGGCUCCCGAUCUGAUUGCACCUCUGGGACCAGCUACACCCCCAGCCUCUCCAGGGCAGCCACUGGGUCUGGCUCAGCUGGAAUGUCUAGCACGCAACAGGUGUUCGGCUCAGUGUUUAGAAAGUCAACUAACGAAGUCUAAACACACUGUAGAAGGCGGGGGAGAGAUGCCCUCUCUUGAUGACAAGGCUCUAGAUCUGGGGACGUGGAAUGGCUUGCUUCUGAGCACCGGGAAGGUCCAGGGUGGUAUUUGGGAAGAGGGUUUCCCUGGGCAGAUCAAUGUGGAGCAACACGGGAGCUGAUGACGGGUGCAGGCAGUUGGGCAAAGAGUUGGGGGAGGAUGAAGACA
rnacentral:lncRNA from 1 species